rnacentral:lncRNA from 1 species
AUAAGAUAUUGGAAGUGGAUAUUCGUCCGACAUUUCCAUAAUCAUUAAACUCGUUAAAUAUAAAACUGCGUAAAUUUAACUGAAAUUCAAGCGAUUCCUCCGUGGUGUUGUGGUUUAGGCACCCGUAUUGUGUGCGCCGAGUUCUGGGAUCGAUUCCUGCUAGUGCCACAAUUUUAUUAUUAUUUUUUAUACUUUUUUUUUUCUUCAUGAUUUUCGCGUACGAAACCGUCGAAACGUAUAGCGUAUAUAAUAAUAUGUUGUUGCUUCGUUCUUAAGAAACAACGCAAGCAUUUAGUGGUUUAGUGUUAGCUUUUAAAGCGUUGUCGGAUUAAUAGCCGUGAAGCAAGAAGAUCCGGUGUCGGACGAAUAUCCACGGGGUAAUAUAUUUACGUCUUUCAAUGAGCACUGUUUAGCCUAGUACUGUGUUUAUACCACAUUUAUAAAUUUUAUAAACAGCUUUCGUU